ensembl:ncRNA T28B11.20 ncRNA
UCACCGAUUGUUGCGAGAUGUAUUCCUCGGCCUCUCAGUGUCGCGUCUGGCGCCCCAUUGUCGUCACGAUUCAAGACGUUCAUGUGACUUUUUUUUGAAGCUCUCGCGUCAAUUGGAGCAGGUACCGUAGCGUUCGCGCGCUCCGAAUUUAGAUUGCGGAAAAGGGAGCAUGGUGUAGCGAAAUGUUUGCGUCUCGCGCAAAAUUUGCAGGAAAAACUGCAGAAUCCAACAGUUCAGAGCCAUUUUCGGAAUUUUCUCAGUUUUUGUAUUCUCCCACGC